AUUGAACGCUGGCGGCAUGCCUUACACAUGCAAGUCGAACGGUAACGGGCCUUCGGGUGCCGACGAGUGGCGAACGGGUGAGUAAUACAUCGGAACGUGCCCGAUCGUGGUGGAUAACGAGGCGAAAGCUUUGCUAAUACCGCAUACGAUCUACGGAUGAAAGCAGGGGACCGCAAGGCCUUGCGCGGACGGAGCGGCCGAUGGCAGAUUAGGUAGUUGGUGGGAUAAAAGCUUACCAAGCCGACGAUCUGUAGCUGGUCUGAGAGUAUGAUCAGCGACACUGGGAGUGAGACACGGCCCAGACCACUACGGGAGGCAGCAGUGGGGAAUUUUGGGCAAUGGGCGCAAGCCUGAUACAGCCAUGCCGCGUGCAGGAUGAAGGCCUUCGGGUUGUAAACUGCUUUUGUACGGAACGAAAAGCUUUCUUUUAAUACAGGAGGGUCAUGACGGUACCGUAAGAAUAAGCACCGGCUAACUACGUG
rnacentral:rRNA from 1 species